ensembl:snRNA U2 U2 spliceosomal RNA
AUUGCUUCUUGGCCUUUUGGCUGAAUCAAAUGUAGUAUUCCUUCUUAUCAGCUUAAUAUCUGAUAUGUCUUCUAUCUGAGGAUAAUAUAUUAAAUGAAUUUUUGGAGAAGGGAGGGAGAUAGUAGCUUGCAUGAGUACUUCCAGGAAUGGUGGACCUUUACACCACACGCACAUGCACACACACACA